rnacentral:rRNA from 1 species
GCUGCAGAAGAAGCACCGGCUAACUCCGUGCCAGCAGCCGCGGUAAUACGGAGGGUGCGAGCGUUAAUCGGAAUUACUGGGCGUAAAGCGCAUGCAGGUGGUUUGUUUAAGUCAGAUGUGAAAGCCCGGGGCUCGAACCUCGGAAUUGCAUUUGAAACUGGCAAACUAGAGUACUGUAGAGGGGGUAGAAGUUUCAGGUUGUAGCGGUGAAAUGACGUAGAGAUCUGAAGGAAUACCGGUGGCGAAGGCGGCCCCCUGGACCAGAUACUGACACUCAGAUGCGAAAGCGUGGGGAGCGAAACAGGAUUAGAUACCCUGAUAG